UACAGAGGUCUCGAGCGUUGUUCGGAUUCAUUGGGCGUAAAGGGCGCGUAGGCGGCGGGGUAAGUCUGGUGUGAAAUCUCGGAGCUCAACUCCGAAAUUGCACUGGAUACUGCUCUGCUAGAGGGCUGGAGAGGAGAUCGGAAUUCACGGUGGAGCAGUGAAAUGCGUAGAUAUCGGGAGGAACACCAGUGGCGAAGGCGGAGACCUGGGCCGAUACUGACGCUGAGGUGCGAAAGCGUGGGGAGCAAACAGG
rnacentral:rRNA from 1 species